ACUGCUCAGUAACACGUCGAUAAUCUGCCCUAAGAUUGAGGAUACCCCACGGAAAACUGUGGCUAAUACUUAAUAUUGAAUGGAUUCUGGGACGAGCCAUUCAUUAAACGUAAGGUCUUAGGAUGAGUCGGCGGCAGAUUAGGCAGUUGGCGGUGUAACGGACCACCAAACCAAAGAUCUGUAGGGGCCCUGAGAGGGGUAGCCCCGAGAGGGACACUGAAAUACUGGUCCCAGCUCCACGGAGUGCAGCAGGCGCAAAACCUCCACAAUGCGCGAAAGCGUGAUGGGGGGAUCCUGAGUGCUUACAUAUUUUUGUAAGCUUUUGCCAAGAGUUUACAUCUUGGAGAAUAAGUGGUGGGUAAGACCGGUGCCAGCAGCCGCGGUAACCCCGGCGCCACGAGUGGCAAUCUUAUAUUGGGCCUAAAGCAUUCGUAGCCGGAUUAAUAAAUUCCUUGUGAAAUUGUCGAACUCAAUACGACAGCGUGCAGGGAACACUAUUAGUCUAGAGAUUGGGAGGAGUUAGGGGUAUGCCUGGGGGAGCGGUUAAAUGUGAUAAUCCCAGGUAGACCACCUGUGGCGAAGGCGCCUAACUAGAACAAUUCUGACGGUGAGGGAUGAAAGCUAGGGGAGCGAUCCGGAUUAGAUACCCGAGUAGUCCUAGCUGUAAACACUGCGAGCUAGGUGUCGCAUAUUCUACGAGAAUAUGCGGUG
rnacentral:rRNA from 1 species